rnacentral:snRNA from 1 species
GGACUGAUCUGGCUGCAAAUGUCACCCAUGAUCUGCCAGAAUUGCAGCUAAUCUGCCUGGCUCUUUCUCCCUCAGUGCUUCUCAGUCUUACUGCUGUAACAUCACUCUUCGUUGAAGAGGAUGACCUUCUCCAGUAGUGGAAGGCCAUUUUCUAGUUUAGAAUCUCUCUUCUGCUAGGACUUCCAAACUAGUUCUUAAAGAGCCAGCUAGGGUCUGGCAAAGUCAAGAGAACUGGUCAGACACACAUACAGACAAAGCUCUGACGCCUUGUCCU